GAAAUGCGAUAAGUAAUGUGAAUUGCAGAAUUCAGUGAAUCAUCGAAUCUUUGAACGCACCUUGCGCCCUUUGGCUAUUCCGAAGGGCAUGCCUGUUUGAGUAUCAUGAACACCUCAACUCUCAUGGUUUGCCAUGAUGAGCUUGGACUCUGGGGGUCUUGCUGGCUCAUGGUCAGCUCCUCUUAAAUGAAUCAGCUUUCCAGUGUUUGGUGGCAUCACAGGUGUGAUAACUAUCUACGCUUGUGGUGUCCUCCCAGGUAACCUUCGGGCAUGGAGGUCGCUGGAGCUAAUAAACGCACAUCUCUCAUUGUAGAGAUGGCUUUUUAGAUGUUUGAUCUCAAAUCAGGUAGGACUACCCGCUGAACUUAAGCAUAUCAAUAAGCGGAGGAAAAGAAACUAACAAGGAUUCCCCUAGUAACUGCGAGUGAAGCGGGAAGAGCUCAAAUUUAAAAUCUGGCGUGCCUCUGGCCGUCCGAGUUGUAGUCUGGAGAAGCGUUUUCCGUGUUGGACCGUGUAUAAGUCUCUUGGAAUAGGGCGUCAUAGAGGGUGAGAAUCCCGUCUUUGACACGGACUACCAAUGCUUUGUGAUGCGCUCUCAAAGAGUCGAGUUGUUUGGGAAUGCAGCUCAAAAUGGGUGGUAAAUUCCAUCUAAAGCUAAAUAUAGGCGAGAGACCGAUAGCGAACAAGUACCGUGAGGGAAAGAUGAAAAGCACUUUGGAAAGAGAGUUAAACAGUACGUGAAAUUGCUGAAAGGGAAACGCUUGAAGUCAGUCACAUCUGCCAGGACUCAGCCUCACUUCUGUGUGGUGUACUUUCUGGUUUGAUGGGCCAACAUCAAUUUUGACCGUUGGAGAAAGGCUUUGGGAAUGUGGCACCUUUUGGUGUGUUAUAGCCCUUUGUUGUAUGCAACGGUUUGGAUUGAGGACUGCAGCACGCCUUUAUGGCCGGGGUUCGCCCACGUACGUGCUUAGGAUGUUGGCAUAAUGGCAUUAAGC
rnacentral:rRNA from 1 species